UAAAGAUUCAUCGGCUGCGGAUGGCCAUGCGGCGCAUUAGCUAGUCGGCGGGGUAACGGCCCACCGAGGCGACGAUGCGUAGGGGUUCUGAGAGGAAGGUCCCCCACACUGGUACUGAGACACGGACCAGACUCCUACGGGAGGCAGCAGUGAGGAAUAUUGGUCAAUGGCCGGGAGGCUGAACCAGCCAAGUCGCGUGAGGGAAGACGGCCCUACGGGUUGUAAACCUCUUUUGUCAGGGAGCAAGGUGCAGGUCGGGACCUGCUGUGAGAGUACCUGAAGAAAAAGCAUCGGCUAACUCCGUGCCAGCAGCCGCGGUAAUACGGAGGAUGCGAGCGUUAUCCGGAUUUAUUGGGUUUAAAGGGUGCGCAGGCGGAGGCACAAGUCAGCGGUAAAAUCGCGGGGCUCAACCCCGCUCCGCCGUUGAAACUGUGUCCCUUGAGUGCGCGAAGGGUAGGCGGAAUGCGUGGUGUAGCGGUGAAAUGCAUAGAUAUCACGCAGAACUCCGAUCGCGAAGGCAGCCUACCGGCGCGCAACUGACGCUCAUGCACGAAAGCGUGGGUAUCGAACAGGAUUAGAUACCCUGGUAGUCCACGCAGUAAACGAUGAAUGCUAUCUGUCCGGCCGGAAUGACGGCUGG
rnacentral:rRNA from 1 species